UCUCUGAUGGUCCAGUGGUAGGGCUCCACACUUCCACUGCAGGGGGGCUGGGUUCGACUCCUGGUCAGGGAA
rnacentral:tRNA from 1 species